ACUGUGUGUUGUUGGGUAGGGGAGCGUUCUGUAAGCCUGUGAAGGUGGCCUGUGAGGGUUGCUGGAGGUAUCAGAAGUGCGAAUGCUGACAUAAGUAACGAUAAAGCGGGUGAAAAGCCCGCUCGCCGGAAGACCAAGGGUUCCUGUCCAACGUUAAUCGGGGCAGGGUGAGUCGACCCCUAAGGCGAGGCCGAAAGGCGUAGUCGAUGGGAAACGGGUUAAUAUUCCCGUACUUGGUGUUACUGCGAAGGGGGGACGGAGAAGGCUAUGUUGGCCGGGCGACGGUU
rnacentral:rRNA from 1 species